rnacentral:rRNA from 1 species
UACGAAGGUGGCUAGCGUUGUUCGGAAUCACUGGGCGUAAAGCGCGCGUAGGCGGCAAUACAAGUCAGAGGUGAAAUGCCGGGGCUUAACCCCCGGAACUGCCUUUGAAACUGUAUUGCUAGAGUCUCGGAGGGGAGUAGCGGAAUUCCUAAUGUAGAGGUGAAAUUCGUAGAUAAUUAGGAGGAACACCUUGGUGGCGAAGGCGGCUAUCGUGGACGAGUACUGACGCUGAGGCGCGGAAAGCGUGGGGAU